rnacentral:rRNA from 1 species
GACGAACGCUGGCGGCGUGCUUAACACAUGCAAGUCGAACGGAAAGGCCCUGCUUUUGUGGGGUGCUCGAGUGGCGAACGGGUGAGUAACACGUGAGUAACCUGCCCUUGACUUUGGGAUAACUUCAGGAAACUGGGGCUAAUACCGGAUAGGAGCUCCUGCUGCAUGGUGGGGGUUGGAAAGUUUCGGCGGUUGGGGAUGGACUCGCGGCUUAUCAGCUUGUUGGUGGGGUAGUGGCUUACCAAGGCUUUGACGGGUAGCCGGCCUGAGAGGGUGACCGGCCACAUGGGGACUGAGAGACGGACCAGACUGCUACGGGAGGCAGCAGUGGGGAAUAUGGCACAAUGGGCGGAAGUCUGAUGCAGCAACGUCGCGUGCGGGAUGACGGCCUUCGGGUUGUAAACCGCUUUGGCCUGUGACGAAGCGGGAGUGACGGUAAUGGGUAAAGAAGCACCGGCUAACUACGUG